rnacentral:rRNA from 1 species
AGCGAACGCUGGCGGCAGGCCUAACACAUGCAAGUCGAACGAACUCUUCGGAGUUAGUGGCGGACGGGUGAGUAACACGUGGGAACGUGCCUUUAGGUUCGGAAUAACUCAGGGAAACUUGAGCUAAUACCGGAUGUGCCCUUCGGGGGAAAGAUUUAUCGCCUUUAGAGCGGCCCGCGUCUAAUUAGCUAGUUGGUGAGGUAAAGGCUCACCAAGGCGACGAUCAGUAGCUGGUCUGAGAGGAUGAUCAGCCACAUUGGGACUGAGACACGGCCCAGACUCCUACGGGAGGCAGCAGUGGGGAAUCUAGCGCAAUGGGCGAAAGCCUGACGCAGCCAUGCCGCGUGAAUGAUGAAGGUCUUAGGAUUGUAAAAUUCUUUCACCGGGGACGAUAAUGACGGUACCCGGAGAAGAAGCCCCGGCUAACUUCGUG